GGGUUGUGAGGUUAAGCGACUAAGCGUACACGGUGGAUGCCCUGGCAGUCAGAGGCGAUGAAGGACGUGCUAAUCUGCGAUAAGCGUCGGUAAGGUGAUAUGAACCGUUAUAACCGGCGAUUUCCGAAUGGGGAAACCCAGUGUGUUUCGACACACUAUCAUUAACUGAAUCCAUAGGUUAAUGAGGCGAACCGGGGGAACUGAAACAUCUAAGUACCCCGAGGAAAAGAAAUCAACCGAGAUUCCCCCAGUAGCGGCGAGCGAACGGGGAGGAGCCCAGAGCCUGAAUCAGUGUGUGUGUUAGUGGAAGCGUCUGGAAAGGCGCGCGAUACAGGGUGACAGCCCCGUACACAAAAAUGCACAUGCUGUGAGCUCGAUGAGUAGGGCGGGACACGUGGUAUCCUGUCUGAAUAUGGGGGGACCAUCCUCCAAGGCUAAAUACUCCUGACUGACCGAUAGUGAACCAGUACCGUGAGGGAAAGGCGAAAAGAACCCCGGCGAGGGGAGUGAAAAAGAACCUGAAACCGUGUACGUACAAGCAGUGGGAGCACGCUUAGGCGUGUGACUGCGUACCUUUUGUAUAAUGGGUCAGCGACUUAUAUUCUGUAGCAAGGUUAACCGAAUAGGGGAGCCGAAGGGAAACCGAGUCUUAACUGGGCGUUAAGUUGCAGGGUAUAGACCCGAAACCCGGUGAUCUAGCCAUGGGCAGGUUGAAGGUUGGGUAACACUAACUGGAGGACCGAACCGACUAAUGUUGAAAAAUUAGCGGAUGACUUGUGGCUGGGGGUGAAAGGCCAAUCAAACCGGGAGAUAGCUGGUUCUCCCCGAAAGCUAUUUAGGUAGCGCCUCGUGAAUUCAUCUCCGGGGGUAGAGCACUGUUUCGGCAAGGGGGUCAUCCCGACUUACCAACCCGAUGCAAACUGCGAAUACCGGAGAAUGUUAUCACGGGAGACACACGGCGGGUGCUAACGUCCGUCGUGAAGAGGGAAACAACCCAGACCGCCAGCUAAGGUCCCAAAGUCAUGGUUAAGUGGGAAACGAUGUGGGAAGGCCCAGACAGCCAGGAUGUUGGCUUAGAAGCAGCCAUCAUUUAAAGAAAGCGUAAUAGCUCACUGGUCGAGUCGGCCUGCGCGGAAGAUGUAACGGGGCUAAACCAUGCACCGAAGCUGCGGCAGCGACGCUUAUGCGUUGUUGGGUAGGGGAGCGUUCUGUAAGCCUGUGAAGGUGUGCUGUGAGGCAUGCUGGAGGUAUCAGAAGUGCGAAUGCUGACAUAAGUAACGAUAAAGCGGGUGAAAAGCCCGCUCGCCGGAAGACCAAGGGUUCCUGUCCAACGUUAAUCGGGGCAGGGUGAGUCGACCCCUAAGGCGAGGCCGAAAGGCGUAGUCGAUGGGAAACAGGUUAAUAUUCCUGUACUUGGUGUUACUGCGAAGGGGGGACGGAGAAGGCUAUGUUGGCCGGGCGACGGUUGUCCCGGUUUAAGCGUGUAGGCUGGUUUUCCAGGCAAAUCCGGAAAAUCAAGGCUGAGGCGUGAUGACGAGGCACUACGGUGCUGAAGCAACAAAUGCCCUGCUUCCAGGAAAAGCCUCUAAGCAUCAGGUAACAUCAAAUCGUACCCCAAACCGACACAGGUGGUCAGGUAGAGAAUACCAAGGCGCUUGAGAGAACUCGGGUGAAGGAACUAGGCAAAAUGGUGCCGUAACUUCGGGAGAAGGCACGC
rnacentral:rRNA from 1 species